CUCCUCAAGAAUUGUGUAGAGUGCCACAAAACAAAUCUACCAAACACGUUAGACUAACCUAUAAACACAAAAUCUUUGAAAAACUCUAUGUAUAUAUAAUUACAUGUCAACUAUACUCGGAGUCUAUCGAAUUUUGUUAUAAGAUCAUUUCACAAUUAAAACAUGUAAUUUCAACAUAAUCAUACACCAAAACAUACCAACGAAUCAACAACGUCAUUCUCAAAUCGUAUCUCAAUAAAGCAUCUCAAGAAUCAACAUUCACAUAAUUGUCUUAGAUUCAACUUGAAAUUCAUAUGUAGCAUAUUGCUCACCAAUUAGACAUUUAAAACUAAUACCAUAAAAAUAGUCCCUAGCAAUUUAGACAAAAACAUAAAGUAAAUUAAAAUUAGAAUGCAUAAACAGAAACCAGCUACUCUUCCAACACUUUCUCCUUCCCUUUCACCAUCAAACUUUCACCAAAUUCUUUAGCUUCAAAUUCAUCACCAAAUAAAAAUAAAAAUUUAGAUUAACAAACACACCAUAAUAAUAAAACCCUAAAUUUAUUGAAAUGAUACAAUUCAAGGAAGCAAGACAUUAAUUUCACUUUUUAGACCACUUAAGAAAACUCUCCCAAACUUAGCUCUAACUUCUCCUAAUCUGAAAUCUAAUGGUAUAAUUAGUAUUUAUAGCUUAAAAACAUUCUAAACCUUACCUAAAACCAUCAAAACCAAGCAAAAUCCCUAACUUACCUUCUCACUUAAGAACUCAUCCAUAACGCAGGAACUUAGUCAAAUCCUCACCAAAGCUAAAAUUUCCCAUUCUAAUGAUUAUUUAAACAUGUAAAAACCAAGGAUAUAACAAGAAACCACUAGCAAAGACACAAAAUCAAACUCUCUCUAGGAUGCAUUUAACGUGAAAAUGGAGAAUAAGAAGAUGUUCCAAACUUUCAAAAUUUUGUUUUGUAGUAAUUUAAAAGGAUUUGUAAUCUUGAAAAACAUUAGAUCUCUUUUUAAAUUUUUAAUAUAAUCAUCAAAAAUCAAAAUCUCCUCCAAACUUGGAGAUUAAUAUGGAACAUAGUAAAGAGAAGGAAAAUGUUAAAAUCGAGCCUAGAAAAUUGAAAAGAUGAAGAAAAUAAUUUGAAACUCAUGAUUACCUUGCUGAAAUUGUUUGAUUGAAAUCAAGAAUUGAAGACUGAAGGAAAGAAAAAUGGAAAGAAUGUUGAGAGAAUUUUAAUCGGUUUGUUUGGAAUGGAGAAUUAAGUAAUCGUUCUCUCCAUUCGCUUUUACUAAAUGGUCUAUUUACU
rnacentral:lncRNA from 1 species